UACGUAGGGUGCGAGCGUUGUCCGGAAUUACUGGGCGUAAAGGGCGCGUAGGCGGCCUUCUAAGUCGAACGUGAAAUCCCCGGGCUCAACCCGGGAACUGCGUCCGAUACUGGAAGGCUUGAAUCCGGGAGAGGGAUGCGGAAUUCCAGGUGUAGCGGUGAAAUGCGUAGAUAUCUGGAGGAACACCGGUGGCGAAGGCGGCAUCCUGGACCAAUAUUGACGCUGAGGAGCGAAAGCCAGGGGAGCAAACGGG
rnacentral:rRNA from 1 species